rnacentral:rRNA from 1 species
UGGGGAAUAUUGCACAAUGGGCGCAAGCCUGAUGCAGCCAUGCCGCGUGUGUGAAGAAGGCCUUCGGGUUGUAAAGCACUUUCAGCGGGGAGGAAGGCGAUAAGGUUAAUAACCUUGUCGAUUGACGUUACCCGCAGAAGAAGCACCGGCUAACUCCGUGCCAGCAGCCGCGGUAAUACGGAGGGUGCAAGCGUUAAUCGGAAUUACUGGGCGUAAAGCGCACGCAGGCGGUCUGUCAAGUCGGAGGUGAAAUCCCCGGGCGCAACCUGGUAACUGCAUUCGAAACUGGCAGGCUAGAGUCUUGUAGGGGGGGGUAGAAUUCCAGGUGUAGCGGUGAAAUGCGUAGAGAUCUGGAGGAAUACCGGUGGCGAAGGCGGCCCCCUGGACAAAGACUGACGCUCAGGUGCGAAAGCGUGGGGAGCAAGCAGG